AUACGGAGGCUGCAAGCGUUGUUCGGAAUCAUUGGGCGUAAAGCGGGUGUAGGCGGCUUGGCAAGUCGGAUGUGAAAUCCCAGGGCCCAACCCUGGAACUGCAUUCGAAACUGCCUCGCUAGAGUCCCGGAGAGGAUGGCGGAAUUCCCGGUGUAGGGGUGAAAUCCGUAGAUAUCGGGAGGAACACCAGUGGCGAAGGCGGCCAUCUGGACGGUGACUGACGCUCAGACCCGAAAGCGUGGGGAGCAAACAGGAUUAGAAACCCCGGUAGUCC
rnacentral:rRNA from 1 species